AGAUAAGGAACUUUCACUGAGAGCUUCUAUACAACUGCUCGGAGACAGGCUGACGCUGCCGCUACCGUUCAUAUCGGCUCUUGGUGACAGUAUGUUGAAAGGAAGACACAAAAAAAAGAAAAAAUAUAGCUGCUGUAGCUUUGCUUAUCAUCGUGGGAUUUGCAAUAUCAACUCAUAAGAGUUGCAACAAAUAUUUAACAAAGAUGUUUAAUGCAAUACACAAUGUGUUUUCUUGCUACGUUGUUGGUUUUGUGGGAUCGGACUAAUUUCUAUAUUUGUAUUUCGACAGUGUGGUGUUAACAUAAGGUAUUUAGAGGUCUAGGGAAGAGAAUAACUUCUUGAAACUAUCAAUUUUGUUAAAAUAAUUAUCUAUAAUAAUCGUUGCAGGAAAUAUCAGU